UACAGAGGGUGCAAGCGUUAAUCGGAUUUACUGGGCAUAAAGCGUGCGUAGGCAGCGAGAUAAGUCGGAUGUGAAAUCCCUGGGCUUAACCUAGGAACUGCAUUCGAUACUGUCUUGCUAGAAUUCGGUAGAGGGUGGCGGAACUCCAGGUGUAGCGGUGAAAUGCGUAGAUAUCUGGAAGAACACCGAUGGCGAAGGCAACCACCUGGGCCUGAAUUGACGCUGAGGCACGAAAGCGUGGGGAGCAAACAGG
rnacentral:rRNA from 1 species